UUAGAUGGCCAUAUUACCCUGCAGCUCAAAGAUUGGUUACUCACCGAAGCUAAGCAGGGCUGAGCCUGGUCAGUACCUGGAUGUGAGACCACAUGGGAAAGCUAGGUUGCAGUUGGAA
ensembl:rRNA 5S_rRNA 5S ribosomal RNA